rnacentral:rRNA from 1 species
GACGAACGCUGGCGGCGUGCUUAACACAUGCAAGUCGAACGGAAAGGCCCUGCUUGCAGGGUGCUCGAGUGGCGAACGGGUGAGUAACACGUGGGUGAUCUGCCCCUUACUUUGGGAUAAGCCUGGGAAACUGGGUCUAGUACUGGAUAGGACCAUGCUGUAGGUGGUGUGGUGGAAAGAUUAGUUUCGGUAAGGGAUGAGCUCGCGGCCUAUCAGCUUGUUGGUGGGGUAAUGGCCUACCAAGGCGUCGACGGGUAGCCGGCCUGAGAGGGUGGACGGCCACAUUGGGACUGAGAUACGGCCCAGACUCCUACGGGAGGCAGCAGUGGGGAAUAUUGCACAAUGGCGCAAGCCUGAUGCAGCGACGCCGCGUGGGGGAUGACGGCCUUCGGGUUGUAAACUCCUUUCAGCCAUGACGAAGCCCUUGUGGUGACGGUAGUGGUAGAAGAAGCACCGGCUAACUACGUG